CUGCUGGAGGACUAAGGAGUACAAGCGUUAUCAGACACCAGGAGGAAGGUCCUGUGUACAGGCAUUGAUACAAGCUAUGGCGGCCCAGCAGGAGGCUACUUGUGUCCAGGCAGCCGCCCAACAGGAGACAGUGCGGCUGAAGCAAGAGACUAAUCGCCUGCUGAUGGACCAGGCUUCUCAAGACCGAGCUAUGUUGCGGGAACUGGUAAACCAGAGAACCCUGCCUUAUUCAGUGCAGAAGAUGGACCUGCUCUGUGGAUGAAUCAGGGCUGUGUCGUGAAGGGGGCUAUUGUCUGCAGCACUCCUGCCUCAUUUGUUGCAGAAUUUGGCAGGGGUGUCAUGCACAAGGCAGGGGGUUGCAGGUUGUCUCAUGGGUAAAGUAUUCGAAUUCUGCCCUGGAGAAUUGGAUUCUAUCCCUGCCUCUGCCACAGAGUUUCUGUGUGAUGCUGGGCAAGUCACUUAAACCAAAAUGUUGUACAGUGGAGUAAUAUCACCCCCACCCUUCACAGGGCUGUGGUGAGGAUAGUUCCAGUGCUGUCUCUGCAGCACUCAGAUGCUGGGGGGGGGGGGGGGGGAGUAGC